GACGAACGCUGGCGGCGUGCUUAACACAUGCAAGUCGAACGGUGAAGGGACCGGUUUUUGCUGGUUCUGGAUGAGUGGCGAACGGGUGAGUAACACGUGAGUAACCUGCCCCCUUCUUCUGGAUAACCGCAUGAAAGUGUGGCUAAUACGGGAUAUUCUGCGCCUGCUGCAUGGUGGGUGUGGGAAAGAUAUUGUUUCGGUGGGGGAUGGGCUCGCGGCCUAUCAGCUUGUUGGUGGGGUGAUGGCCUACCAAGGCGGUGACGGGUAGCCGGCCUGAGAGGGUCAGUGGUACUACUACGAAUGAGCGACGCAGACGACUACGACAGGAAGCAGUAGGGAAGAAUAUUGAACAAUGGGAGGCAGGAUGCAGCAGCGCCGCGUGGUGGAGGAAGGACGUCUGAGGGUUGUACACCUCUUUCGCCAGUGAAGCAGGGCUGUCUAUUUUGUGGGUGGGUUGACGGUAGCUGGAUAAGAAGCGCCGGCUAACUACGUG
rnacentral:rRNA from 1 species